rnacentral:misc_RNA from 1 species
AAAAAAUUGAUUUUUUUAAUUAGCCAAAUUAAAAAAAAAUUAAUGAGUCUAUAUUAUAAUAAUUUAAAACAUUAUUUUUUAGUGGUUUAAUUAAAAUAAAAAAUUAAUAGCUCAUAUUUUAAAUUUCCUCUAAGUAAUAAAAAAAUAAUUUUAAAAAAAAUUCAAAUUGUAAGUAAAACAUACAAAAUACCUAGGUUAAAAUAUUGCAUCUGUUCAAACACUGGGGUCACUACUCCCUCAAAAUUUUAAUUUUUAAAUUUGAGUAGUUUAAACGUGGGCAUGUCCUUAAUAUACUCUCACAUUUAGUUUCAAAAAAUUUAUUGACCCAAUUAAACCAAAAUUUCAAUUAGCACAUAUUCUAAUAAUUUAAAAUGUUAUUUUUUAUUGACCCAACUAAAUUUAAAAAUUAGUAACCUAUAUUUUUUAAAUAUCCUUUUGACUAAUAAAAAAGAAUUGUAAGAAGAAUCAAAUUGUU